AACGCACAUUGCGCCCGCCAGUAUUCUGGCGGGCAUGCCUGUUCGAGCGUCAUUUCAACCCUCAAGCCCCCGGGUUUGGUGUUGGGGAUCGGCGAGUCUUAGGACCAGCCGCCCCCUAAAUCUAGUGGCGGUCUCACUGCAGCCUCCAUUGCGUAGUAGCUAACACCUCGCAACUGGAACGCGGUGCGGCCAUGCCGUUAAACCCCCAACUUCUGAAUGUUGACCUCGGAUCAGGUAGGAAUACCCGCUGAACUUAA
rnacentral:misc_RNA from 1 species